rnacentral:piRNA from 1 species
UUCUGCCUAUGGACUCACUUGGAGUG